rnacentral:rRNA from 1 species
GAUGAACGCUGGCGGCGUGCCUAAUACAUGCAAGUCGAGCGAACAGACGAGGAGCUUGCUCCUCUGACGUUAGCGGCGGACGGGUGAGUAACACGUGGAUAACCUACCUAUAAGACUGGGAUAACUUCGGGAAACCGGAGCUAAUACCGGAUAAUAUAUUGAACCGCAUGGUUCAAUAGUGAAAGACGGUUUUGCUGUCACUUAUAGAUGGAUCCGCGCCGCAUUAGCUAGUUGGUAAGGUAACGGCUUACCAAGGCAACGAUGCGUAGCCGACCUGAGAGGGUGAUCGGCCACACUGGAACUGAGACACGGUCCAGACUCCUACGGGAGGCAGCAGUAGGGAAUCUUCCGCAAUGGGCGAAAGCCUGACGGAGCAACGCCGCGUGAGUGAUGAAGGUCUUCGGAUUGUAAAACUCUGUUAUUAGGGAAGAACAAAUGUGUAAGUAACUAUGCGCGUCUUGACGGUACCUAAUCAGAAAGCCACGGCUAACUACGUG